CGCCCGGCGGACCUGCCGUGCGGGGUGGUGCGGAGACGCGGAGUGGUGUGGGCUCUUUUUUUUUUUUUUUUUUUUUUUCUUGCGUAGGGCGAGAUGUUGUUUUGUUGUGACGAUCAGCUGAGUGUGGCAUCGCUGUCCGGUCUGACACCACGAGAAGAAGAAGAAGAAGAAGAAGAGGGGGGAGGAGGAGGAGGAGAAGAAGAAGAAGCGCCUCUCCGGCUCCACACUAAACGUGGGGACGGAGCGCCUCUUUCCAGCGCAUCGCAAUCCAGGAAAUGCGGACUUGUGGCCCUUUCGCUUCGGGAUAAACGGCUGCAGAAGCCGCACCGUGGAGAGCCGACUCGGGCCUCGAGGAGAAGAUUGAUUUGGGUGUGGGCCUGAAAAGCCUAAUAAUCUUUGAUGAGACAAGUUCAUCGAGCAGCCUCAAAAUCACACAAAAGGCAUGACAGUAGCUGAAUCAUCUCCACAAUGCACUGCAGCCUUAGUGAAGUAAUCUCAUGUCACAUUUGUCACACUGUCAUGGUGGAUUAACAGUCAAAGACGAAUGGUCAGUGAUGGUGCCGCUCAGCAUGGAUCUCUCUGUUAGGGAAGGUAUCAAUGAAAGUAGAGAAAACUGGUAUUUUAGAGAUUGUGUCACACUGUAGCUCUGGCAUUUCUCUUACCAGUGAUCACUGGGUAUCUUUCAGUAGCAUUUGCACAGACAACCUAGUCUCUGCCAUGCUUCUUCUACAAACUUUUUCACCCCAGGAGAGGAUCCUCCCUUCCCGCCUCUUGCCAGAGCAAAACCCCAGAGCUGCUGACACAGGCUCACCCAGCGUGAUUGAGAAAAUAAACAGAUGAUGAAAAAAAAAAGUGUGUGCCGCUCAUCAUAGGGCUACAUGUUUAUCCUCUGCUGCAGGGUUGUCAUCAACUUAUGGGGAGCAAAGAUGGAU
ensembl:lncRNA